rnacentral:rRNA from 1 species
GACGAACGCUGGCGGCGCGCCUAACACAUGCAAGUCGAACGGAGUCAAGAGGAGCUUGCUUUUCUUGACUUAGUGGCGAACGGGUGAGUAACGCGUGAGUAACCUGCCCUGGAGUGGGGGACAACAGUUGGAAACGACUGCUAAUACCGCAUAAGCCCACGGAUCUGCAUGGAUCUGCGGGAAAAGGAUUUAUUCGCUCUAGGAUGGACUCGCGUCCAAUUAGCUAGUUGGUGAGGUAACGGCCCACCAAGGCGACGAUUGGUAGCCGGACUGAGAGGUUGAACGGCCACAUUGGGACUGAGACACGGCCCAGACUCCUACGGGAGGAAGCAGUGGGGGAUAUUGCACAAUGGGGGAGACCCUGAUGCAGCGACGCCGCGUGGAGGAAGAAGGUUUUCGGAUUGUAAACUCCUGUCGUUAGGGACGAUAAUGACGGUACCUAACAAGAAAGCACCAGCUAACUACGUG